rnacentral:rRNA from 1 species
CAGCAGCCGCGGUAAAACGGAGGGGGCUAGCGUUGUUCGGAAUUACUGGGCGUAAAGCGCACGUAGGCGGCUUUGUAAGUUAGAGGUGAAAGCCCGGAGCUCAACUCCGGAAUUGCCUUUAAGACUGCAGAGCUAGCAGGUGAGAGAGGUGAGUGGAAUUCCGAGUGUAGAGGUGAAAUUCGUAGAUAUUCGGAAGAACACCAGUGGCGAAGGCGGCUCACUGGCUCAUACUGGACGCUGAGGUGCGAAAGCGUGGGGAGCAAACAGGAUUAGAUACCCCCGUAGUCCCUGUCUCUUAUAA